UCUUAUGGAUAAGCAAAGAAAGUGGUUCCUUUAGAUAAAAACUACUCCUGGUGAAGAUGCGGUGAGAU
rnacentral:pre_miRNA from 1 species